UCCAAAGAGAAGUCUAAAAUUCAGAAAAAGCGCAAGAAAAAGUCUGAUAUCUCUCAAUCAACAGAAAUUGACGAGGAAUUAAGCUUACAGGACGUCGUGGAGUUAGGAGGAGAUGAGGCAGAUUAUCAGCUUCUUAAAGAGGUUGAUGAUGAGGAUGACAUUUUGAUUCUUGGAGGCAUUGCUUCGGAGCAAGAUGAGGUUAAGGAGAAUGAGUUGAAAAAUUUCAUAAAAGAACUUGGUCUUCAAUCCUUUAAAAAUCAAUAUAAAUCAAAGACGGUCGUUGACAAUAAUAACACAAUU